GAAAUGCGAUAAGUAAUGUGAAUUGCAGAAUUCAGUGAAUCAUCGAAUCUUUGAACGCACCUUGCGCCCUUUGGUAUUCCGAAGGGCACACCUGUUUGAGUGUCGUGAAAUUCUCAACCCUCUUCGCUUUUUUGUGAACGUAGGGAUUGGACUUGGAGGCUUUGCCGGGCUUCACAUGCUCGGCUCCUCUCAAAUGCAUUAGUGCGUCUUGUUGCGACGUGCGCCUCGGUGUGAUAAUUAUCUACGCUGUGGUGGGCUCGCUUCUGUAGAGACACGCUUUCUAACCGUCCGAAAGGACAGCUUUCAUCGAACUUUGACCUCAAAUCAGGUGGGACUACCCGCUGAACUUAA
rnacentral:rRNA from 1 species